CCCCAGCGCCACAAGUGGUUAUCACGAUUAUUGGGCCUAAAGCGUUCGUAGCCGGUUUGGUAAAUCUCUUGUGAAAUUGUUCGGCUUAACCGGACAGCGUGCAGGAGACACUGCCAGACUCGAGACCGGGAGGGGUUAGAAGUAUUCCAUGGGGACUGGUAAAAUGGGAUAAUCCAUGGAAGACUACCGAUGGCGAAGGCAUCUAACCAGAACGGAUCUGACGGUGAGGAACGAAAGCCAGGGGAGCGAACCGG
rnacentral:rRNA from 1 species